AACGAACGCUGGCGGCAUGCCUAACACAUGCAAGUCGAACGAGACCUUCGGGUCUAGUGGCGCACGGGUGCGUAACGCGUGGGAACCUGCCCUUAGGUUCGGAAUAACUCCCCGAAAGGGGUGCUAAUACCGGAUAAUGUCUUCGGACCAAAGAUUUAUCGCCUUUGGAUGGGCCCGCGUUGGAUUAGCUAGUUGGUAGGGUAAAAGCCUACCAAGGCGACGAUCCAUAGCUGGUCUGAGAGGAUGAUCAGCCACACUGGGACUGAGACACGGCCCAGACUCCUACGGGAGGCAGCAGUGGGGAAUAUUGGACAAUGGGCGAAAGCCUGAUCCAGCAAUGCCGCGUGAGCGAUGAGGGCCUUAGGGUUGUAAAGCUCUUUUACCCGGGAUGAUAAUGACAGUACCGGGAGAAUAAGCUCCGGCUAACUCCGUG
rnacentral:rRNA from 1 species